AGUUCUGAAAAGCUACCAGACUCAGUGAGAGGCAAGGACUUUUCAUCUUUAGGGCAUUCUGACCACGUCCUGCUUCAGAGAGAUUGUUCCCGGCGUCUCAGUGCUAUGGGGAGCAGGUUCCUCCUGGUCCUGCUCUCAGGUCUCACUGUCUUACUGGCUCUGCCAGGAUCAGAAGCCAAGAAUUCUGGAGCUUCCUGUCCUCCAUGCCCUAAAUAUGCCAGCUGCCACAACAGCACCCACUGUACUUGUGAAGAUGGCUUUCGGGCCAGGUCUGGCAGGACAUACUUUCAUGAUUCCUCUGAGAAGUGUGAAGAUAUUAAUGAAUGUGAAACCGGGCUGGCAAAGUGCAAGUAUAAAGCAUAUUGUAGGAAUAAAGUUGGAGGUUACAUCUGUAGCUGUUUGGUAAAAUAUACUUUAUUCAACUUUCUGGCUGGUAUUAUAGAUUAUGAUCAUCCGGAUUGUUACGAGAACAAUAGUCAAGGGACGACACAGUCAAACGUGGAUAUUUGGGUGAGUGGGGUGAAGCCUGGAUUUGGGAAACAGCUGGUACGUAUAACUAUGCCAUUUUCCUACCCAAACAUUAACAUGUCUUCCUGUGAUUUUUAGGGUAGGGUAGUUCUAUCCAGGGGUAAUUUUGUCCUCUGUCCCAAGGUCAUCUGUCAAUGUCUGGGGACACUUUUGGUUGUCAUACCUUGGGGGUGAUGUGUGUGACUGGCAUCUGGUGGAUGGAGACCAGGGAUACAGCUCAACAUCCUACAGUGCCCAGGACAGCCUCCCACAAUCAAGAAGUGCCUAGUGCCACAUGUCCAUAGAGAUAGAGAAAUACAAGCGUAGGGGGAAAGUGCCUCAGCUGGCAUUCAAAGACCUACAUCAAGCACCUAGAUUCUCAAUGCCACACGCACCUUGUAGCACCUUAAUAAAUAUCGUUGCCUUCUGGGCUCCCCACUCCAACACUUGUGCAUAUUCCCUAUUUCUUACAUUUCAGUAAGAGUCAAUCUAAUUAGCUUAAUUUUUUUGGAAGGAAAAUCUGAGAAGAAAUGGAAGCAGAGAGGACUUUGCAAGAAGGGCUACUCAACUAAUUCAAAGCGUGGAGUUGAGCAUCUGGAAUGCGAGUUUUGCUUCUCCAGGAAAGGGUCAAAUUUCUGAAUUUGAUAUAGUCUAUGAAACCAAGAGGUGCAAUGAGACAAGGGAGAAUGCUUUUCUGGAAGCUGGAAAUAACACCAUGGAUAUCAACUGUGCUGAUGCUUUAAAAGGAAACCUAAGAGAGAGCACUGCAGUUGCCCUAUCACUUAUCAAUCUCUUGGGGAUAUUCUGAAUGCAUCCUUUUUUAGUAAACGAAAAGGGAUGCAGGAAGUAAAACUGAACUCUUACGUUGUGAGCGGCACCGUCGGUUUGAAGGAAAAAAUUUCCCUCUCUGAACCUGUGUUCCUGACUUUUCGCCAUAAUCAGCCUGGUGACAAGAGAACAAAACAUAUCUGUGUCUACUGGGAGGGAUCAGAGGGAGGCCGCUGGUCCACGGAGGGCUGCUCUCAUGUGCACAGCAACGGUUCUUACACCAAAUGCAAGUGCUUCCAUCUGUCCAGCUUUGCCGUCCUCGUGGCUCUUGCCCCCAAGGAGGACCCUGUGCUGACCGUGAUCACCCAGGUGGGGCUGACCAUCUCUCUGCUGUGCCUCUUCCUGGCCAUCCUCACCUUCCUCCUGUGCCGGCCCAUCCAGAACACCAGCACCUCCCUCCAUCUAGAGCUCUCCCUCUGCCUCUUCCUGGCCCACCUCCUGUUCCUGACGGGCAUCAACAGAACUGAGCCUGAGGUGCUGUGCUCCAUCAUUGCAGGGCUGCUGCACUUCCUCUACCUGGCUUGCUUCACCUGGAUGCUCCUGGAAGGGCUGCACCUCUUCCUCACCGUCAGGAACCUCAAGGUGGCCAACUACACCAGCACGGGCAGAUUCAAGAAGAGGUUCAUGUACCCUGUAGGCUACGGGAUCCCAGCUGUGAUUAUUGCUGUGUCAGCAAUAGUUGGACCCCAGAAUUAUGGAACAUUUACUCAAUAAACCUGGUGUUCUACUUCCAAGUUCUGUGGAUUUUGAGAAGCAAACUUUCCUCCCUCAAUAAAGAAGUUUCCACCAUUCAGGACACCAGAGUCAUGACAUUUAAAGCCAUUUCUCAGCUAUUUAUCCUGGGCUGUUCUUGGGGCCUUGGUUUUUUUAUGGUUGAAGAAGUAGGGAAGACGAUUGGAUCAAUCAUUGCAUACUCAUUCACCAUCAUCAACACCCUUCAGGGAGUGUUGCUCUUUGUGGUACACUGUCUCCUUAAUCGCCAGGUUCGAAUGGAAUAUAAAAAGUGGUUUAGUGGGAUGCGGAAAGGGGUAGAAACUGAAAGCACUGAGAUGUCUCGCUCUACUACCCAAACCAAAACGGAAGAAGUGGGGAAGUCCUCAGAAAUCUUUCAUAAAGGAGGCACUGCAUCAUCAUCUGCAGAGUCAACCAAGCAACCGCAGCCACAGGUUCAUCUCGUCUCUGCUGCUUGGCUAAAGAUGAACUGACCUGGCAAGUGCCAUGGCAAUGACCCGGAAGUUACCGCUCCUUUCCGUUUGUCUACAGCGCCCCUGUGGUCACACAUAGAUUGGACAAAUGCCACUAUUUCUAGCUUUCCUGUGAAAAGUCUAGGCUCAUUCACCUAUUUUGGCUUUUUAUGUUCAUAGAAAGAACAAGACAUUUGGGAGAAUUCUUAGAUCCAGAGUCCAGUAGUGUGGCACGUGCAAUGAAGUGUCGGAAGGAUGCAUUUUAAAGAUGGCGGGCGGGAGAAGUGGAUUUUCUUCUUGCAGCUACUGCCACCUUGCCAGAAACUCACUAACUGGCAUCUGGAUUCAGCUCAUAGUUCCCUUUCUGGCCUCUCUGCUGUAUUUUAUGCUCCCAAAGAUCUUACAUUAACACUCCACAUUCACAUAAUUCAACAAUUUUCAUAUGGAUCAGUAUUAAAGAGGGUGUUGCAUUUUGCAAUACAAAAAUGCAUUAUCAGGUGCUGGAGAGGAUGUGGAGAAAUAGGAACACUUUUACACUGUUGGUGGGACUGUAAACUAGUUCAACCAUCGUGGAAGUCAGUGUGGCGAUUCCUCAGGGAUCUAGAACUAGAAAUACCAUUUGACACAGCUAUCCCAUUACUGGGUAUAUACCCAAAGGACUAUAAAUCAUGCUGCUAUAAAGACACAUGCACACGUAUGUUUAUUGUGGCAUUAUUCACAAUAGCAAAGACUUGGAACCAACCCAAAUGUCCAACAAUGAUAGACUGGAUUAAGAAAAUGUGGCACAUAUACACCAUGGAAUACUAUGCAGCCAUAAAAAAUGAUGAGUUCAUGUCCUUUGUAGGGACAUGGAUGAAAUGGGAAAUCAUCAUUCUCAGUAAACUAUCGCAAGAACAAAAAACCAAACACCGCAUAUUCUCACUCAUAGGUGGGAAUUGAACAAUGAGAACACAUGGACACAGGAAGGGGAACAUCACACUCUGGGGACUGUUGUGGGGUGGGGGGAGGAGGGAGGGAUAGCACUGGGAGAUAUACCUAAUGCUAGAUGACGAGUUAGUGGGUGCAGCACACCAGCAAGGCACAUGUAUACAUAUGUAACUAACCUGCACAUUGUGCACAUGUACCCUAAAACUUAAAGUAUAAUAAUAAUAAAUAAAUAAAUAAAUAAAAAACCAAAAACAAAAAUGCAUUAUCAUCCUAGCUUAGGGGUGUAUUGUCACUGCGCAGGCUCUUUUGUCCAAGACACUGACAUUUUCCCCAUUUUCUUUGCCUGAGACUUUUUUAUUUAUUUAUUUAUUUUUUUUUGAGACAGGGUUUUGCUCUGGUUGCCCAGGCUGGAAUGCAGUGACAUGAUCUCUGCUCACCGCAACCUCUGCUUCCCAAGUUCAAGAGAUUCUCCUGCCUUAGCCUCCUGAGUAGCUGGGAUUACAGGCGCCUGCCACCACGCCCAGCUCAUGUUGUGUAUUUUUAGUAGAGACAGGGUUUCACCAUGUUGGCCACGUUGGUCUUGAACUCCUCGUCUCAGGCAAUCCACCCUCCUUGGCCUCCCAAAGUGCUAGGAUGACAGGUGUGAGCGACCUAGCCCGGUCUGCCUGAGACUUUUGGAACCUACAUGUACACAUGGGUUAAAGAUCAUUUUGUUUUCUUAGUGUCCUCUUGAACAUGUCCCAGUACAAAUGUCUGGAAACAAAAAACGUGGGUCAUUCGGACUCAUUUUUUCGUUUUACCAUGUCUAAUUACUUUUACAAAGUUACUGGUUUUUAGGUAUGUUUUCAGCAUAUUAAUAAAUGUGUGGAUGAUUGUUAUGACAGAACAGCUCCAAAAAGAUUUUAAAUGCUAAUGACUGUCAAUGUUAAAAUAGGCAAGAGUUAUCAUCAUUUAUUUGAAGAAAUUUCAAACCAGGCGCGGUGGCUCAUGCCUGUAAUCUCAGCACCUUGGGGGGCUGAGGUAGGAGGAUUGUUUGAGGCCAGGAGUUUGAGACGCCCUGGAAAACAUAGUGAGACCCCAUAUCUACAAAAAAUUUACAAAAUUAGCUAAGCAUAGUGGUGCAUUGCUGUACUCCCCACUACACAGGAGGCUGAGGCGGUAGGAUUGCUUGAGCCCCAGGAAUUCGAGGCUAUAGUGAGCUAUGAUUGCACCACUGCACUCCAGCCUGGGAGGCCGUGGUACUCUGUCUCAAAAAAAAAAAAAAAAAAAGAAAAUCAUGUGAGGUCUUCUUCUAGGGUUGCAGACAAAGGGUUGAGGACUUUUCUGCUUAAUUAAAGCAAAUGUCUCCUCCAUAGAUAUAAACAGAGUAGUGUACAUCCACUCCACCUGCUGGCUUUGAAGUUAUGGGAUUCCUUUGGAAAAGGGAAAAUGAAGGGAUAUUCACAUGGUUGCAAAAUGUGUGCAUGCAGCGCAACUUUUUGUUUUGCAUAAUUUCAAAUGUACACGAAUAAAGGCUUCGUAAAAUGCAA